rnacentral:rRNA from 1 species
GUGCCAGCAGCCGCGGUAAUACGGAGGGUGCAAGCGUUGUUCGGAAUCAUUGGGCGUAAAGCGCGUGUAGGCGGUCGGGCAAGUCAGAUGUGAAAGCCCUUGGCUUAACCAAGGAAGUGCAUUUGAAACUGCCCGGCUUGAGUACGGGAGGGGGAAGUGGAAUUCCCGGUGUAGAGGUGAAAUUCGUAGAUAUCGGGAGGAACACCGGUGGCGAAGGCGGCUUCCUGGACCGAUACUGACGCUGAGACGCGAAAGCGUGGGGAGCAAACAGGAUUAGAAACCCCCGUAGUCC